rnacentral:rRNA from 1 species
GACGGAGGAGGCAAGCGUUGUCCGGAAUUACUGGGCGUAAAGAGCGCGUAGGCGGUUUCUCAAGUCGUGUGUGAAAACCCGAGGCUCAACCCUGGGAUUGCACACGAAACUGGGAAACUUGAGUGCAGCAGAGGAAAGUGGAAUUCCUGGUGUAGCGGUGAAAUGCGCAGAUAUCAGGAAGAACACCGGUGGCGAAGGCGGCUUUCUGGGCUGCUACUGACGCUGAGGCGCGAAAGCUAGGGGAGCGAACAGG